rnacentral:rRNA from 1 species
AUGGAGGAGAUCGGCCACCACUUCGGGCUGGGAGCCACCGCCCACGGCCAGCACCACAGCCAGCUCCCAUGGGGCUCUUCGCCGCUCAGCGCCGUCAUCGCGCCGCCCCCACAGCAACAGCAGCAGCAGCAGCAGUCCGCCGGCUAUCUGGCGCACAGCCCCCUCUCCCUGAACACGGCGCCGCCCAGUGGAAGCCACGGCGGCGGCAGCGGGUGUAGCAACCCGGUGCUGCAGCUGGCCAACGGCAGCCUCCUGGAGGCGUGCGCCAAGGCGGCCAAGGAGCCGUCGUCGUCGUCCUACGCCGCCGACGUCGAGGCCAUCAAGGCCAAGAUCAUCUCCCACCCCCACUACUCCUCCCUCCUCGCCGCCUACCUCGACUGCCAGAAGGUGGGGGCGCCGCCGGAGGUGUUGGCGAGAUUGACGGCGGUGGCGCAGGACCUGGAGCUGCGACAGCGCACGGCGCUCGGCAGCCUCGGCACCGCGACGGAGCCGGAGCUGGACCAGUUCAUGGAGGCGUACCAUGAGAUGCUGGUGAAGUACCGGGAGGAGCUGACGAGGCCGCUGCAGGAGGCCAUGGAGUUCCUGAGGAGGGUGGAGACGCAACUCAACUCCCUCUCCAUCUCCGGCAGAUCGCUGCGCAAUAUCCUUUCCUCCGGCUCAUCUGAGGAAGAUCAAGAAGGUAGCGGAGGAGAGACAGAGCUUCCUGAGAUUGAUGCCCACGGCGUGGACCAGGAGCUGAAGCACCAUCUCCUGAAGAAGUACAGUGGGUACCUGAGCUCCCUCAAGCAAGAGCUGUCAAAGAAGAAGAAGAAAGGAAAGCUCCCGAAGGAUGCUCGCCAGCAGCUCCUCAGCUGGUGGGAGAUGCACUACAAAUGGCCUUAUCCCUCGGAGAGCCAGAAGGUGGCGCUGGCCGAGUCGACGGGCCUGGACCUGAAGCAGAUCAACAACUGGUUCAUCAACCAGAGGAAGCGCCACUGGAAGCCGUCGGACGAGAUGCAGUUCGUCAUGAUGGACGCGUACCACCCCCCUAACGCCGCCUUCUACAUGGACGGCCACUUCGUCAACGACAGCGGGCUCUACAGGUUCGGCUAG